rnacentral:rRNA from 1 species
CGAAGUUAGAGAGAGCUUGCUUUUUCUAACUUAGUGGCGAACGGGUGAGUAACGCGUGAGGAACCUGCCUCAAAGAGGGGGACAACAGUUGGAAACGACUGCUAAUACCGCAUAAGCCCACAGAGCCGCAUGGCUCAGGGGGAAAAGGAGCAAUCCGCUUUGAGAUGGCCUCGCGUCCGAUUAGCUAGUUGGUGAGGUAACGGCCCACCAAGGCGACGAUCGGUAGCCGGACUGAGAGGUUGAACGGCCACAUUGGGACUGAGACACGGCCCAGACUCCUACGGGAGGCAGCAGUGGGGAAUAUUGCACAAUGGGGGGAACCCUGAUGCAGCGACGCCGCGUGGAGGAAGAAGGUCUUCGGAUUGUAAACUCCUGUUGUUGGGGACGAUAAUGACGGUACCCAACAAGGAAGUGACGGCUAACUACGUGCCAGCAGCCGCGGUAAAACGUAGGUCACAAGCGUUGUCCGG